GGCCCUGUCUCCACCCGUGGGUUCAGAGGGCACCCCCCGGUUGCUGCACAGAGCCCCUCUUUCCCUCCUGGGAAGUCUAAGCUACACUAGCCUCACUUUUGCUACGGGGCAUAAAACACAAGCUCACUCGCUCACUCACACCGACAAAGACAAAAACACAAAGGGGGAACGUCCCAGAAGAGGGAGCAGGCUCUGUGCAGCCAACACGUGGGGAGCCAUCCCUCCCUCUGGGCAGGAGAGCAGAGCCUCAGCCCUGCCCCGGGCUCUGCAGAGGCCAGAGGGGCCUCAGCACACUGAGGGGCUUCACAACGGCCCAAGGCCACGACACGCCCCAGCUACGGGGGGUCACUCUGGUCAGGGGCCAUAAGCAGGCACAAAGGUGCCAAGGGGAAAAACCCUGCCCUGCUUACAGGGCGGGCUGGGGGGCAGGAAAAGCCCUGCCCUGCUUAGAGGCCGGGCUGGGGGGCAGGAAAAGCCCUGCCCUGCUUACAGGGCGGGCUCGGGGGCAGGAAAAGCCCUGCCCUGCUUACAGGGCGGGCUGGGGGUCGGGAGAGCUCCGUUUCCCCCCUCGGGUGCGGAGACAGGGGCUCUCACCCUCCUUACAGGGUUGCCCCUCUCUCCGGGCAGCCAAAGGAGCGCCAUGGCCAAAGGCCAGCAAAGCAAAGCAAAGACCCAGCCCUGCUUACAGGGAGGUCGCCCAGCGCAAAGCCAGCCAGGGCAGCCUGAAGUUGCCCGCCGGACUCUUACGGAUCCCUGCCCGGGGGGGCCAGGGAGGUGCAUUUGCCCAGAGGGUCCCUGUCGUGCCCCCUCUUGAGCUCGACGCUGCUGCUCCUCUCCUUGGCUCUUGCCUCGCUGGUCCAUUCUUGAGCUCUCUGCUGCUCCUCUUCUUCGCUCUUGCCUCGAAGUUCCAUUCCUGUCUCUUCUUUCUUCUCCGACGGCUUCUGCCAAGGCAGGAGGACACAGUUGAGCCUGAGAAACACCAGCUCCUCCCCAAGAAGGAAACCCGGUCCCUACACCCCCAGAGGGAGAUCUCCAAGCCACUACCCACCCACAGGCCCCCCCAGCUCCCCAAACCCCUCCAAACUUCACUCGGUCUCACCAGAGCGACGCAGUCCCAUCCGCUGCUGGGAGCCGGGCCCUCUGGGCAAAGGCAGCUGGGCAUGCAAAGCAGUGGCCAAAGAGGCUGCACCCCUGCUUACAGGGGGCUCUGGCCGCUGCCUGGAGCGCAAAGUGCCCGGGACUCCAGGGCACUGGCCCCGACUUACAGGGCAGCCCUGGGCCCAAAGGCCCGCGGAGGCUCCUUCUCUCCGCUUCGGGGGCACCUGACUCGCUCCCCGCUAACGGGGCGGUCGCCCCGCACAGGCUGCCAGCUGAGGGAGCACAAAGGCUCCCAGACCCGGACCCUGCUUACAGGCGGGUUCACACCCAGGGAGCCACGGAGCUCGGCCUUCCCCCGAGGACAGGGAGGGCACACGCCCAGCCCCACGCCUGUGAAAGGGUGGGGACCCCACGGGACAC
rnacentral:lncRNA from 1 species